CUCAUAAUUAUUCAUUCCCCCCGCCCUUCUUUUAUUUGAUGGAGAGGAACUUGGCUCCUUAGAUUAACGAGGAGUUCUUCCUCAAUUUAUUUCGUGGCCGUUUAGUCAUCCAACUGUAGCAAAUAGAUAAACGGUUCAUAAUAUUUUUACUGAAUCUGUCCAUAUUUUUUUAGUAUGUAACUAUUCACACACCUUUUUUUUACUGCCCACACAUUCCUUGUUAAUUUUUGUUUUUUUAUCCUCUUCAAUUCAUUUGAUUUGAUGACCGAAAUUGAGAGGUGUUUGGUCGUUUUGGAUGGUAACAAUGGAUGUGCGGAUAGCACCACCUUUUUUAUACAAUUUGAUAAUUAAAUGAUCUCAUAUUUAAAUGAUUAUUUGUAGAAAUAACCUUUAAAGAAUUAUUUAUAAUAUUAAUAAUCUCAAUCAUAAGUUUGAAGUUCUAUGAAUAGAUCACAAGGUGAAAUGAACAAUAACUCUUCAUUCAUUGAAUAGCCAAGUUGUUUCCUUAUUUUUUGGGCCUAAUUCCUUAUUUUUGGGGCAGAGCCACCAUUUUCCUCAUCUUCCUCUCUCUCUUUCUCUCUCUCUCUCUCUCUCUCUCUCUCCAACUACCAUUUUCUCUUCACCAACUCUUUUGUUCAUCUGCCUUCCCUCAUCCCUCAUGAUUUCUCUCCCCAAUCUCCUCCUAUUAAAUAAUACGUACAAGUUUUAAAUACACAAAACCUUCUUUGGCUCUGAUUAGGGGUUCGAUCUUUGAUCUGGAAAACAUGGAUUCCAUUGAAGAAAGUCUUCAAUAGGUUCUAUUCAUUACCGAUAACUCUUUUUUCAUCUUCCCUUUCCUUUGUUCUCAUUCUCCCUCUUAAUCUUCCUCAGAAUCAUUGCAGCAGCAAAUUCACCGCCGCCACCGCUGAUACGAUGUUAAGAGAGAGGGAUCAAAUGUUGUAUUUUAAGCUUUGCUAGCCACUACUUACUCUCUCCUCUUCACUAGAUUUAGCGAGGAACUGUUCACAAUACUAAGUUUUUCGUUAGAAUAAGAACAACCAGUCCGUUGGACUUGUUUUUGUGAGUUUUGCUAAAUAUUCGGUUAAAAUAGCCAAAACCCCUCUUUUAGACGGCACACUUCUACUUCAUUAUUAUGAACUUUUAUUAAUCUUGCACUCAAACAACAAAACUAUUUAUGAGAGUUUGAAGGGUUGUAAUAAUCUAAACGACAAUGUAAUCGUUAUCUAAGAAUAAAGAAUGCAGUCACAAGCGUUUAUAUAUUCUUUCGUAUUUUUCAACUUAUACAUUAAUUAUUGUGAAUUCUUAUUUAUUUUGAACUCCUCCUAAAAACACUAUUCAUGAGGAUUUGUAGUGUUCUAAAAAUUUAAAUGACGAUGCACCCAUCGUCAAAGCUUACAGAAUACGAUCACGAGCGUUUGCAU
rnacentral:lncRNA from 1 species